UACGGGGGGGGCAAGCGUUUGUUCGGAAUUACUGGGCGUAAAGGGUUCGUAGGUGGCCUACUAAGUCAGACGUGAAAUCCCUCAGCUUAACUGGGGAACUGCGUCUGAUACUGGGGGGCUUGAGGACAGGAGAGGAACGCGGAAUUCCAGGUGUAGCGGUGAAAUGCGUAGAUAUCUGGAGGAAUACCGGUGGCGAAGGCGGCAUCCUGGACCGGCAUUGACGCUGAGGAGCGAAAGCUAGGGGAGCAAACGGGG
rnacentral:rRNA from 1 species